rnacentral:tRNA from 1 species
GGGCGAUUUGCGUCUCAGCCUUCCAAGCUGAUGAUGCGGGUUCGAUUCCCGCCGCCCG